rnacentral:ncRNA from 1 species
AAUUGUAGAACUCCGAAGUUUAGUUUUUCUAAGGAUCUGUUAACAGGUCUAUGGAUCUAAACCGGUAGGGUAUAACUGGAAACGGUUAUGUCUCCCAGUGUGGAAAAGGGGCUUUGACAAGGUUAU